rnacentral:rRNA from 1 species
GUUGGAUUUCUGGCGGGAGCGGGUGGUCCGGCACUUAGUGUUGGUACUUUCCUGUCUCUUGCCAUCCUUGGGUCUAAGCUGUCUGGCAUUUAGUUGUCGGGCAGUGGCUGCCCAUCGUUUACUGUGAAAAAAUUAGAGUGUUCAAAGCAGGCUUAUGCCGUUGAAUAUAUUAGCAUGGAAUAAUAAGAUAGGACCUUGGUACUAUUUUGUUGGUUUGCGCACCGAGGUAAUGAUUAAGAGGGACAGUUGGGGGUAUUCGUAUUCAAUUGUCAGAGGUGAAAUUCUUGGAUUUCUGGAAGACGAACUACUGCGAAAGCAUUUACCAAGGAUGUUUUCAUUAAUCAAGAACGAAAGUUAGGGGAUCGAAGAUGAUUAGAUACCAUCGUAGUCUUAACCAUAAACUAUGCCGACUAGGGAUUUGUGGGUGUUAUUUAUGACCC